rnacentral:lncRNA from 1 species
UGGAGGAGCUAUUUAAAAGGUAAUAGCCUUACAACUGGUGGGGCUAUGAAAAUAUAAAAUUCCUAAAUUAGAAGGAGAAUAUCUAAAAGAAGUAAAAUGUUUGUGUUUGAAUGCAAGAGCUUUGAAAAGGAAAGUCAAUUGCCUGUAUUUAGAGGUGGGGGCCUUGAAUGAAAAUUGAAUAUAUUUAUGUGAAGGUAUGCUUUUAAAAGGAAAAGCCAACUGCCCGUAUUUGGAGGUGGGUGCCUUG